AGAGUUUGAUCCUGGCUCAGGGUAAACGCUGGCGGCGUGCCUAAAACAUGCAAGUCGCACGGAUCCUUCGGGGUCAGUGGCAGACGGCUGAGUAACGCGUGGGUGACAUGCCCAACGGUGGGGAAUAACUGCCCGAAAGGGUGGCUAAUACCGCAUAUGCCUGUAGCUUCGAGUGCUACAGGUAAAGUUCUGUCAAAAGA
rnacentral:rRNA from 1 species